GGCAUGUCACAAGAAGAAAGGUUUGUUUAUUUUAGUUAUUCUUCAAUUCAUCUCAAGAAAUGUUCAUGGUUUUGUUAUAAAAUCCUGUUCCGCUGCUAUGUAUUGUCAGUUGUUUUUUUGUUUCUUAUUCAUUCUUUAUCUUGAUAUAUUGGUGCACUUGUGUUGGGGAUGGUGAUUGUUUCAAAUGAUAUCAUUGGUAGAAGCUUAUGUGUUGGUAUGGAUUAUUUCAUUAUGGUUUUGUUUCUAGUACUCAUUUUAAUGAAUUGUAAAUCUAAUAUUUAAUUGCUAUAAAUUGCUUGUAAUAUUAUCUAAGCAUUUGUUAAGCUAGUGCAUAUGGAAUUUUACUGGAAAUUGAAAAUAAUAGCUUCUCCAUUUGUACAAGCAAGACAAGAUGGCAUAACCACGUUGUUUCUGUAAUCCACAUGGCAUAGUAACAUCAUUUAUAUAAUCCAUACUAUAUCUAAUGGAUGUCGAAUGCUAGCAAGUCUGGGCCAUGUGAUGACAUUUUAAAUCUUCAUAGGCAAUCAUCAGACAAAAAAUUAGAUGAAUAUUUUUGCAGAUUAUGGUGACAGUCUGAUUUUUAAAUGGUGUUGAUGUUGGUCAACUCUACAUUUUCAGAAGUUGCAUUAUUGAAGUCAAAUCGGCUGUGUUAACUGGUGGUUAGUUUUAAUAAAGAUUUAUUUCAUUUAUCCCUCCCUUUUUGAUUUCUGAUUUUUUUUUUGUUGUGGAAGUACCGUUCUUUUUUUUUUUUUU
rnacentral:misc_RNA from 1 species